CAGGCCGGAAAAAACUCCUAAUUUUGGUCAAAAUUACACUGUUUCAUCAUUUUUGACUUCGACUUUAAAAUUACAGAUUUAAGUGAAAAUUAAAUUUUCGGUAAAAAUAUAUUUUUUUAAAUGUCCAGUCGUAAAGGAUCGACGGGUCGAUCAUCAAAAGCAGGUAGAAGUUUCAGAAGUAGAAGUCCGCCUCCAGCGCCUCCACAGAAACAACAGCGAGGGCAUGAUGUAGUGAUCGUACAGCCUCAAAAAUCGCCAGGACUUUUCGGAACAUUCGCAGGAACGGCAGCUGGAGUAGCUGCGGGAACAGUAAUUGGAGAUAAAAUAACGGGUCGAAACGAUCCACCUCAAACUCCAGCAGCUAGUGAAGAAUCUCAUGGUCCUUGUAAAUAUGAAGAAGAACAACUAGUUACUUGUACAUUGAACCAGAAUGAAUUACAAUUCUGUGAGCCCUGGAAAAACGCAUUAUUGGACUGCAGACGAAAAAACAGCAUGUAAUAAAAAAUGAAGAGAGAGACCAAGGCAACUUAAACCCGAAUUAAAUUAAAGUAAAUUGGAGAGUUAUAAAUUUGCGGUGAAGAUGCGAAAUAAAAAAAUUCUUGGUGUACUAGUCUUAUUAUUUCGGAUUAAAAAAUAAAUGACUGAUUACUAAAUGGGGUUGUUGCAUAUUUUAAAAAAUAUUUUGUUCCGGUGAAAUAAAUAGUGCACUAAAGAUUGAAUAUAUUUACUUGAGGAAAGCUUUUUAAAAUUCUUCAGUACCGUUAAACCAUCAGAAUCCUCGAAACCCAUAAAAAAAUCGGAAUCUAAGCCUACAAACGAGUCCAUGAAAAUUUCAAAUGAAAAUAAAGAGC